CCCAGAACUCUGAGGAUGGGGUCUUGGCCUCCUUUUUAGGCCAGCUGGCGACCACUGAGGUGCCUGGAGCCCAUGUGCAGCUUGUGCACAUGUGCAAGCCUUUCUUUCUCUGCCAUUGUCCGUGUCCCUCCCCCUCUGUCUGUCUGUCCCUCCCCCUCUGUCUGUCUGUCUGUCUGUCUGACUCUCUCCCUCUGUCUGUCUGUGUGUCUCUGUCUCUCUUGUCUCUGCCUUUCUUUCUCUGUAUUGUCUGUGUCCCCCUCUCCCUCUGUCUGUCUCUCUGUCUGUCUGUCUCUCUCUGUCUGUCUCUGUCUCUGCCUUUCUUUCUCUGUAUUGUCCAUCUACUCCUCUCUCCCUCUGUCUGUCUGUCUCUCUCUGUCUCACCCAGACUUGGGGCCAGGCUUUAGCGAUCGUUCCUGACACUUCCUAGCUAUGUUUCUACAAUGAAGUCAUUUAAUGUCUCUGAGCUUGAGUCUUACCACCUAUAAAAUGGGUACCCCAAUCCCCAGAGUGCCUUCCUCCAAACUCUGUUCUGAGGCUCCAAUGAGCUAAUGAUGCGAAGUGCUUUACAAACCCAGAAUGUCAGCUAUCCCUGUUCCUGCUCUACAGAUGGCACCGGCUCACAGGUCCAGAGGAUGAAGGGCCCUCAGAGGCAUCUAGUCCAACCCUUUACCUCCUGGAGGAGGAAACUGAGGCAGAGUUGUGAAUGACUCACCCCAGGUCCCACAGAUAGUAAGGGUCAGAGGCAAGAUUUGAACCCAGGUUCUUUGGCUCCAGAAAUGGCUUAACUAUAAUAAUUUUAACUGGCAG
rnacentral:lncRNA from 1 species